UCCGGCGGUUGUCAGCUGUCCGGGCCGGCGCGGUGCCCGCGAUAGUGUUACACCGCUGGGAGAUCAGGGCGCCGUCUAUACGGCCCCGGCCUCCGCCGCUGUUUUAGUGGCGGGUCCGGCUGGGGCCAGGCGACGCUUUGCAUUCCCGAGAGUGGACGGACUCUUGCCCCGUAGAGUCGGCCCUAGAUUGGAUGCGAACAUU